CGGACGGGUGAGUAACGCGUGGGUAACCUGCCUCACACUGGGGGACAACAGUUAGAAAUGACUGCUAAUACCGCAUAAGCGCACAGGAUCGCAUGGUCUGGUGUGAAAAACUCCGGUGGUGUGAGAUGGACCCGCGUUUGAUUAGCUAGUUGGUGGGGUAACGGCCUACCAAGGCGACGAUCAAUAGCCGACCUGAGAGGGUGACCGGCCACAUUGGGACUGAGACACGGCCCAA
rnacentral:rRNA from 1 species